AUCGCAAGAUGCAGAUAGUAAGGAUUAUACGAAAAUGAAACAAAUCAAUACAUAUAGGUAUAUCGAGUCUAUACUCGGUGCGUAUAGCAUAGAUAAGAAACAAAUAUGUAUGAGUAGCGAAAGAAGAGUUUGUUUACCAAGUUGAAGUUGAUAAAGCCAUAAUUAUUCUAAAAUCCUAAAAUCCUAGCUACUUAAAAUCUAGUUUAGCAAGUGAACUUAUUUAGAUCGCAUUGAUAUUUUGCCAUAGACCUGAUCACGGGGAAAUAGUGCACCUACAAGAUACAAAUCACAGUUAUUUCGUAGUCACAGCUAGUGCUAAACCACGGAUUCAGAUCUCUGCAGUUAGGAACACCUAUCACAAAACAAGAUAGAGAUCGCAGUAGCUACCGUACGAGACCGCUUACCGGACGUUACGAUUAAAAGGCACACUAAACGUGAG